AAAUUGAAGAGUUUGAUCAUGGCUCAGAUUGAACGCUGGCGGCAGGCCUAACACAUGCAAGUCGAACGGUAACAGGAAACAGCUUGCUGUUUCGCUGACGAGUGGCGGACGGGUGAGUAAUGUCUGGGAAACUGCCCGAUGGAGGGGGAUAACUACUGGAAACGGUAGCUAAUACCGCAUAACGUCGCAAGACCAAAGAGGGGGACCUUCGGGCCUCUUGC
rnacentral:rRNA from 2 species